UGAGAGUGUGGAGUCUUAGCCACUGGACCACCCCGAAAGUCCCCAGAAGGAUAUUUUUUAAAUUGGCAAACAUCACUGCCUCCAGGGUGAAGAGUAGAGGACUAAGGAUCAGGAAUGGGGAGACCUCCCUCCCCAUAAGAUACAUUUUCAACACUGUAUAUAUAUGUUUUUAUCAUAUGCAUCUUUUAUUUUCUAAAACAUUUUUUAAAUUUAAUUUUACGUAUUUAUUUGGCUGGGCCAGGUCUUUGUUGUAGCGUGCAUGACCUUUCGUUGGGACAUGAUGGAUAUUUUUUUAAUUAUUAAUAGUUGCAGCAUAUGGGAUCUAGUUCUCCUAUAGUGAGUGAAAGUUGCUUAGUCGUGUCCAGUUCUUUUCGACCCCAUAGACCGUAGCCCACCAGGCUCCAGAUCAAACCCAGGCGCCCUGUAUUGGUAGCAUGGAGUCUUAACCACUGGACCACCAGGGAAGUCCCUCUAGAACAUUUUUUUUUACUUUAGCUUUGAACAGUUUCUGGUUUACAGAAAAAAAAAAAAAAAAAUGGGCAGAAAGUACAGAAUUCCCAUAAAUUCCCUCAGCUCCCACACCCCAUCACUGAUGUCACACACUUGUGUGGUGCGCCCUUCUUACAAUUGAUGAGCCAACAUUGAUAAGUGGUGAUGAAAGUUCACAGUUCACAUUAGAGUUCACUUGAUGUUAACUGUUCUGUGGGUUUUGACAAGUAUAAUAAUGUGUAUUUGCCCUUAUAUCACACAGAACAAUCUCACUGCCUUUUACAUCCCCUCUCCCCUAUCCAUUGAUCCUUUCUUCCCUGUAGGCUGGAGCAACCACUGAUCAUUCUACCAUUUUCAUAGUUUUGCCUUUUUUGUGUGUGUAUCUUUUUUUUGGCGGGCGGGGGGAGGGGGGGCGUGUCACGCAGCAUAAGAGAUCUUUGUUCCCUAGUUCAGUUCAGUCCCUCAGUCACGUCUGUCUCUUUGUGACCCCAUGGACUGCAGCACGCCAGGCUUCCCUGUCCAUCACCAACUCCCGGAGCCUACUCAAACUCAUGUCCACUGAGUCAGUGAUGCCAUCCAACCAUCUCAUCCUCUGUCACCCUCUUCUUCUCCUGCCUUCAAUUUUUCCCAGCAUCAGAGUCUUUUCCAGAGUCAGUUCUUUGCAUCAAGUGGCCAAAGUAUUGGAGUUUCAGCUUCAACAUCAGUCUUUCCAAUGAAUAUUCAGGGUUGAUUUCCUUUAGGAUGGACUGGUUGGAUCUCCUUGCAGUCCAAGGGACUCUCAAGAGUCUUCUCCAACACCACAGUUCAAAAGCAUCAAUUCUUCAGUGUUCAGCUUUCCUUAUGGUCCAACUCUCACAUCCAUACAUGACCACUGGAAAAACCAUAGCUUUGACCAGUGGACCUUUGUUGGUAAAGUAAUGUCUUUGCUUUUUAAUAUGCUGUCUAGGUUGGUCAUAGCUUUUCUUCCAAGGAGCAACCACCUUUUAAUUUUAUGGCUGCAGUCACCAUCUGCAGUGAUUUUGGAGCCCAAGAAAAUAAAAUCUGUCACUGUUUCUAUUGUUUCCCCAUCUAUUUGCCAUGAAGUGAUGGGACCAGAUAUCAUGAUCUUAGUUUUUUGAAUGUUGAGUUUUAAGCCAGCUUCUUCACUCUCCUCUUUCACUUUCAUAAAGAGGCUCUUUAGUUCUCCUUUGCUUUCUGCCAUAAGGGCGGGGUCAUCUGCGUAGCUGAGGUUAUUGAUAUUUCCCCCCAAAAUCUUGAUUCCAGCUUGUGCUUCAUCCAGCCCGGCAUUUCUCAUGAUGUACUCUACAUAUAAGUUAAAUAAGCGAGGUGACAAUAUACAGCCUUGACAUACUCCUUUCCUGAUUUGGAACCAGUCCAUUGUUCUAUGUCUGGUUCUAAUUGUUGCGUCUUGAUCUGCAUACAGAUUUCUCAGGAGGCAGGUCAAGUGGUCUGGUAUUCCCAUCUCUUGAAGAAUUUUCCACAGUUUGUUGUGAUCCACACAGUCAAAUGUCUGUGUUUCCUAAACAGGGAUCAAACCCAUGCCCCCUGCACUGGAAGCUCACAGUCUUAACAACUCGACUACCAGGUAAGUCCCACCGUGUGUAUCUUUAAUAAUUUUUCAAAAACCACUUUUAAGACACUGAAAAUAUUUUUUUAAAGUCUAUUCAAACUGAGUCUCAUAGGAGGGCCCACUCCAAACUGUCAUCAUAAGGAAAGUUAACAAUAUUGAACAAACCUAUACAAAUGUGUGUUGAGAAAGUUAUUAAAAAUAUAAAAGAACAUUUUCUGGAGAGCCUGUUCCUAAGGGAAAAGGGCUAUAUUGUGUCCCAAAAAACUUCCUUUCCCUCUGCCCCCUCUAAUGUUUAAAGAAUAAUUAGGUUGACAUAAUCAAGACAGUUCACAAAGCAGAGGUAUUUGCCAGUAUAUUAUCAAUUAAAAGUCAUAAAUAUGGGUGUCGUACCUCAAAGAGCCAGUUAGAGGCCUGGAGACAAAGAACUCCCAGAUUCUCAGAAUAGAGACAACACUCCAGAUGACAAUGCUUUUCCUGAGGGCACAUAGCCACUAUGUCAUCACUAUUGACUUUCUGUUAGCUACCGCCUGCCCUGAUGACCUGACACACCCCUGGUCCCCAGCUUAGCCCCAAUCCCUAUGUCAGAGAAAUUCUGGAGAUUAGCAUGGAGGUGAGGUUCUGGGACUGAAUAGACUGGCAAGGAUGAAGCUCUUGGUCUUUGUUUAUUCCUUAUUAUUGUUUUAAAAUUUUAUUUAUUUGGCUGCGCUGAGUCUCAGCUACGGCAUGCUGGAUAUUUUGUUGCUGCAUGUGGGAAUCUAGUUCCCCGACUAGGAAUCGAACCCAGGGUCUCUGCAUUGGGAGGAAGGAGAUCCACUGGACCACCAAGGAAGUCCCUCUUUCUCUUGGUUUAUUUGGUAAUAAAACAACUAAAAAAUAAGAGAUUUUUAAGGCUUUUUCUAGGCUUCAUUUUAAAGCCUGUAUCAAAUAUACUUCAAAAUGCCAAGUGCCCUCCCCCACUUAAUGGGAUCCCGGUACACCUGUGGCUCCAAGGAGAGGAAAUGGAAGUAGGCACAGGUGGAAGGGCCACUCAGUGCCACCUGUCUGGUGCGGCUCCCACAGUGCAUGUCCUAUCCUACACAAACCGGUUUCCUUGGAUUAAAUACAUUCGACCCAAACACAGCCAAUUCAUUCAUUUUGUAUUCCCUGUAGAGACUAUCAGAAUAUCUGGAUUUUCUAAAUCAAUGCCAGAUAGCAAUAUCAGAAUUAUCAGAAUGAAUCUUCUUGCUUGCUUCUAGUCACAGCCUGUGAUUUAAAAUGGUGGUGCUAUAAUUCUACCAUCUCCAUGGUCAUGGCAGUUCACCACCUCUAGGCUUAAAAGGUUUGUGUGUAGGGACUUCCCUGGUGGUCCAGUGGUUAAGACUCUGGACUUCCAAUUCAGGGGGCAUGGGAUCAAAGCAGGGAGACUGGUUCUCCAUAGCACCUUUCGUUAGUAAAUUUUCUGAAUUAAGAAAAGCAGCUGAGUCACCCUGAAGUCAAUGCUUAUAAAAAUCACCUGAUGAGUUUGUCUCUCUCAAAAGUUACAUCUCCUUUCUUGAUACUCACCCAAAAUGUAAUGCCCCUCAGCCAGAGAUUAUCCUAGGUUAGGAAGGGGCAUUAAAACAAAAACAAACGGGGUUCUGAUGUGAAUGGUCUAAAAGCCUCACUGAGUGAGUUUCAGUCAUUUUUAUUUUUACUUUUAUUUCUCUGUGGUCCACAUUUUUUUGGAGAAGAAACAGAAUUCCAAAGGGCAAUCUUAUUUAAAUAUUCAGAUACAUCACUGACUGCUUGUAAUGGAUACAUAACCUGUUUCUAGAAUUUCUGAAGCACUUCAGUACCUGAGCAGAUUUCAAUGAUAAAGAAGUGUUGGGGAAAACUAAGUGACCUGAGACCUGAGGUCCCAGCAAACAUUUGUGAGUGGCUACUAAAGCAACUAAACACGCCCUAUAGGCUCCGGGCUUCCCAGGUGGCUCAGUGGUAAAGAGUCCGCCUGCCAAACCAGGAAUCUCAAGUUCAAGGAGGGCAUGGUAACCCAUUCCAGUUUUCUUGCCUGGAGAAUCCCAAAGACAGAGGAGCCUGGCCAGUCCACGGGGUUGCAAAGAGUCAGACAUGACUAAACAACAACUUUAGGCCCAGCACCUGUUUUCACAAAUGCAUGCUCUCAGCUAUUCCCCCAGGAACCUCAUUUUCUAAAUGAGGAAGUGGCGGCUCAGAGAGCUUGUCCAAGUUCACAUAAAUACUAAGUAUGUGUUGCAUCAGUCAUAGAUUGAUCAAUUACUAUGUUUAAUUACUAGGUUUAAAGAGUGAAACAAGCAAGCAUGAAAUCACCUGUCUUUACAUUCAAUGGCAAAAAAAAAAACCUCUCGAAAAUGUUUUGAAAUGGUGGCUCUGUGAUCAUGACCCACAAUAACCUCUCCUGAAAGGGGGAAAUAACUUGGCUACUUGUGGUUAGAAAAUGCUGCCCCACCCUCAAAUUCAUACCUACCAAGUCAGUGAGCUCCCUGCUUACCGUGCCCACCUCCUGAGUCAUAUUAAUGUACCAGGGGCAGGAAGGAAGGGGAAUUCCUUUCCACACUUAAGUCUUAUUUCAGGAAUGAGUGACUCAGAUGCCAUUGACAGACUUCCUACCUAACAAACAGCCUUAUUAAGGAGUCAGUCUUUCAGCACAUAUUUAUGGGACUUGGGCUUCCAGAACCCCAAUUUUUAGCACAUGGCUAAAUUCUGGGUCCCAAGUCUGCAAACAAAAUCACCAGAAAGCUCUGGGGACAGAGAUUUGGCUUCUCUGAUCCUAGGCAUUUCUGUGAAUAAAAUAAGGAUUUUAACACCUACCAUGUAGAGAAGUUGUGAAGAAAUCAGACAAGAGGUCAUGAAGUUGACACCAGCAGUUCCGGGAUUGAUGGGAAUUCCUGCUGGACGGCCAGGAGGAAGGAAAGGGGAUUGUCAUGAACUGUUGUUGUCUGGUCAUGUUUGGCUCUUUUGCGACCCCAUGGACUGUAACCUGCCAGGCUCCUCUGUCCUUGAGAUUUUUCAGCAUCACAAAACUUGGGGACUGGAUAGAACUGAAGACUCCAUCUUGCCAAUCCCCUUACUUAGUGGGAAGGCUGAAUGACUUGUCCAGCUGCUCUCGGCCAAGCCAGAGGAGAGAAUUUUUAAAUAUACAUCAAAUGUAAGAGCUAAAGUGCUUAGUCGCUCAUUCAUGUCAGACUCUUUGCGACUCCAUGGACUGCAGCAUGCCAGGCUCCUAUGUCCAUGGGAUUUUCCAGGCAAGAAUACUGCAGUGGGUUGUCACUGCCUACUCCAGGGAUCCCUCACAUCCUCCCACCCUUGUUGGAAGCAAGGGCUUGUCUGUGAACCUUGUCCACAAGGCUGUUUUGUGUGCAGGAACAGCCAGCUCCAGCCUCAUUCUGGACCAUAGGAGGGGCCUCCCAGGAGGCGCAGGGGUGGCAGCACCUCUGACAGCAGAGGCAGGCAGCCCACCUACGGGACCCAGCUUGGACAUCUCCACCCAUGAACCGAACCCCCAGUCCAGUGAGUGUUCUGAGAGCCUGUUUUCACUCAGAAAAACAGAAAUGUAAUGGAAUUUUUAAACUGUCUAGAAGACAAUUUUAAACUAAGAAAACGGAACUGACUCUGCUUGGCCGAGGCCAAAGUACACAGAAGUUGGUGUGAAGUCACUUCUGCGGUGGGAACUCAGUGAGACACGCUCGGUGGCUUCCCAGAGGAGGCCUUUGCCAGCACAUCUGGGCUGCAGACACAGCUCUCUGCUUAAGUGAUAGGUGUGCGGGCGUGCUGGACACCACUGUGGUCUAGACACCGUGUCUAGAGGCACAACAGGGGCCUCUGCAGGGACGCUUAGACCUGGAGAGGGCAAGGCCGGGGAGCAGAUGUUCAGAAGACAGAGAGAAGUCUUCACGCAGCGUCCCUCCCCACUUGUCUACUGACUCAAGACAGCGGCGUGCUAGAUCUCAGCUUUCCUUUCAGACCCAAACAACGCGGCCUUUGCCACUGGCCUGAGUAAGUCACAUUUAUUCUAGUUAGAAAGGGACACCCAGGUGGUGGAGGCCCCGGGGCCUGUGGCUACAGAUAGAGGAAGAAGGCUCCGUUCCAUCUUCCUCUACCCGCCCCUCAUCUCAUAUACACACAUAGCCCCCCUGCCCCAUCUUCUCAUGAACACUGGGCUAAGAUGUAAAUCGGGGGAUCCGCCUUGGGGGUCCCGUGUCCCUCCCUCCUCACCACCAUCUUUUUUCUCUGCCGGUGCACACCCCCUGGAUCCCCUACAAACCCGCCCCUUGUUUGACAUCCUGUGCAUUGAGUCCUUCUAACAACGGCCAGCCGUGCUCACCGGAGCGCAGAUAUCGCUCCGUUCCCUGAAAGGCCAGAUGGAACCGCCCCCCCCCCCCCGCCCCCACCCCAUUUGUGGGUCCACAUCUGACAGCGCACAAGGCUUUUAUCUCAGAAGGAAAGAGCCGGGUUCUGAGCGGCAGUCCCGCCCCCAAGCACACACGGAGUCAAAAAGACAUUUGUCCACAGGGCCCAUCACAGGGAAAACUCCUGUUUUUUUUUUUUUUUUUUUAAGAAUUUUCUCUUCCCGCCAAAAUGCUUGUUCCCGAUGCAGCAGCAGCAGCAGCAGCAGGUCUGUGGAAAGCCUGCCAUCUGACCUGCUCACAGGUCCCUCCCCAUCUCGAGUCCCAUCUGGUGUCUGGUGCGCACAAAGGCCCCCGGCCGCCCCGCCCAGGCCUUUCUGCAGCCGCCACCGGGCGUCAGGUCCCUGGGGCCCGCUCCGCGCGAGGGUCUGGUCCCCGGGCGCCCCUCGGCCCGAAGACCAACAGGUGAUGUCAGCGGGUGUCCGAACUCUGGGACUCACCAGGCGCCGGCACUCAUGAUUCACACGUGCACGCGCCUCUGACUCAGCAGUUUCCAGCGGCCUGGACUGCAAUUCACAAGGAAGGACCCGGGCCCAGACUGCUAAGGAGCCGCAGCACCACCUUUCUGCACAACAGCAGAGAACUGGAAACAACUCCAGAUUACCUCGAUCAUGGAAAUAGCCAUACUAUUAAAAAAAAAAAAAGAAAAAAACACACAACCGCGUAGCGACUGAAGACAAUGCUGGAGACCUGUGUCUUUUGGCAUCAAAGGCUAUCCACAAAAACAUUCUUAAAUAGCAAGUUUCCAAGUAAUAUAUAUAAUGUGAUUCUACUUUGCUAUAUAAAAUAUAUACAUUUAUACAUACAUUUAUAUACAUGUACAUAGAAAAAGUAUGUAUACCAAGAUGUUAACUCAUUAUUUCUGGAUAUUGAGUUUAUGGCUGAUUUUAUCUUCCUAUUUUUGAUCAUAUUUUCUGAUUUUCACACAUUUUUCUAUAACUGUAUAGAAAAAAAAAUUUUGUUUUUAAUGGAUGCUGGAGACAACUUUCUCAUUUACUUAUAGAUACUAUUUAAAGCCAUGAACUAGAGGAGGAGAAAGUACAGAAGAGAAGGGAGUCCCGGGCUGAGGCCUGGGAACUCCAGUAUUUAGAAAUUGGAUAAAGGAGGAGACAGGAAAGCAAUCCGAGGAGAAGCCAGUAAGAAGGGAGAAAAACCAGAAGGAUCCCAGAGGCCGAGAGAAAGAACUGGCUCAGGCUCUGUCACGUGUCCUUAAGAGGUCAGAAGAAUAAGACUAGGACAGCAAAUGGGGCGAGGUGAAGAUUUGUCGGAUAAGAGGGAGAGCGUGGAACUGGAGUUCUGCAAAGAAAUGGGAGAUGUGGAGGGCCGUGUUUUCUCAGACAUGGAAAUAUUUCAACAUUGUUGUAGGAUGAUGAUAAUGAUCAGGUUAACCAGGAAGUCAGUGAUCCAGCAGCCAGAGAUGAUGGGCAGAGAAGGAUCUGCAAGCGCAGCCAGCUAGGGUGGCUAUUCAGCUCCUAGGACAGCCCGCCCCCCACAUGGAGAAAGAAAGCAGAGCUUAGGUGAGCACCAAUGCAGGCAGCAUGGUAGGUGUGGCAAGGGGAGAUGAGUUACUUCUAGGAUGUAUAGCAGCUGCUUGAGGUGGGUGACAUCGAUGGACACUUUACAGAUCAGUUGGCACGGUUAUGUGUUUGCCUGUACGUCCCCAUCUCCUUCAUUUGUAUCAUGGCCUAGGGAAAUACUUCCCUUUGCCACUCUUUCUCCAUCAGCAAGCCUUUAUCACUACAUCGUGAAGAGUAACAGCAAAAGAGACUGAUUAAAAGACUCAAAAUCACAAAUAAGUUCCCACAAGAUCUACAGGAAGUAUAGAUGUCAUCAUUUAUUUAUGUGUCUCCCUGGUGACAUCAUGCACUUUCUCCUUUAGAAAGUGAACAGUAAACCAAUAUGAAAGUAUAAAUUACAUUUACUACUUUAUACGAGCUAACUGAUGUUUAUCAACCACGCGCUGGUGUGUUGCCCUUCCUGGGUCCUGGGAGGGAGCAGACAUGAAUGUGAUGUGGAGGAAGAUGAGCUGUGGACCCAGAGCACAGGACUUCCAAGCCCAAAGAUGGGGGCUUGGAUAAGAGCAAAAGCUUUACAUUAUUACAAUUACAAUUCUCAUAUCCAGCUUUUUUUUUUUUUUAACUUGAUGUUCUGUUUAUACUUCUCUGUUUCUACAUGGUCUGAAAAUAGAACAGGCUUUGGAAUCAGAAGUUCAAAACAUAGUUCUACCUCUCAUCGCCUAUCUUCAAAGGCAGAUGUAGGUCUUAAGGGGCCCAAAGCUUAGGGGCUUCUCUUUAAGAACACAAACUUGAGAGCAGAAUUGAAUAUUUCUUUGAAAUGAAGAAGGAAAUCACAACACAUUUCCAGAGAUUUCAAUCUUGCCUUCUGAGAUCUCUUUAGACAAUUUAUCAGAAACAUUUAUGCAGAGAUGCUCACUGAUUACAAUCUGUUUCCACCCCACCCCACUGGGGUCCUGACCCCCUAACAAUGUGACUACCACCCUCUUGGGGCCCUUGCAAGUGGGGGCCCUGAUGUUCAUUUACUUUAUAGUAAGUCUACCUUUGUCUGUGUGAUCUGGGGCAGGUCAGACUUCUCUGAUCCUCAGUUUGCUCAUCUACAAAAUGGAAUCGUAAUAGCUACCCAUGAAGGUUGCUGUGAAGACCAAGUGAAAUAGUUCAGAAAUCAGGGCUGGAACCUAUGGGGAUUGCACACCCUGAUUCUUAUUCCUCUAAUGCCAGUGACUGGGAGAUGGAGGCGAGGUACGCGACACUGUAUACUGUGCCGGCUCCUCAGAGAGACCAGUUUCCUUCCAGUUUACAGUCAUUUUUUAACAAUUGCUGCCUGCCUUUCUUAUGCCACUCGUAAUGGAUUUUUAGACUAAUAGAUUUUGUGAGCUUUUAUUAAUUCCUCCAGCAAUUUAGAGUUAAAGGAGGAACUAGGUAAAGCCAUCAUUUAUGUGGCUCAUCCCGCUUAAUUAUUUCUUCUAAAAUCAACGGCCAAAAAAAAAAAAAAAUUUUGUUUUUGGACGCAUUGAUGCAAUUAGAAAAAUGUUAAAGGACUCAAGAGAUUCAACGGCUCUGGCCUGUGAGCAGACGGACCAUUCAUAAGUUUGUAGUUUCUAAUUUAGAGCAGUCUCAGAUGAAUUUCCUGCCCAAGCUGGUCUGCUUAGGGAACAAAAGCCUGGAGAUGUGUCUGCUUCACGCCCCAUUGGCAGUGCACACUGCCAGGGCUGGCCUCUCUGGUGGCCCGUACUCAUCAGAGGGACCCGCCGCCCUUAGCGAUUCGGCUUUUACAAAUCACUGCAGGGAAAUCCAGUUUGGACAACACAGAAGCGCGUCCCUUCAUACCACUGGGACUUCGCCACAGUCCUUUAUAUCUUUAACCCACAAAGGUUUCAGUGAACUAUUUCCAAUUCCUGUAGCUUCAUCAAGAAAAGUACCCCCUUCUGGGGCCAACUUUUCCAAGAUGCUAAAGUCUUAAGGUGACCACAAAAGUAGUCCAUCAGCGACUGAUUUCACACUUUACAACAUAGAUCCCUCCAAGGAUCGGUUUCAUGCGGCUGCAUUUUACCUGAUAUCCUCUGGCUUUGAUAAACAGGGGUUAAUUAGGCAUCUGUGAAAUAAAACACAACCUGGGCACCCCACCAGGCAAGAGAUGCUAAGUGUCUCAUUUUAAACGACUCACCUCGGUUUUAGUUCUGCCUUUAAUGAAAAGAAAGAAAGAAAAAAAAAAAAAAGCUGCAGUUACAGCUUCUCCAGCCUGAAGAACUUCUCCAGUAACCUUGCCUUAUAUAACAAAGAAAGAAGGAAUGGAGCCAGAGGACGACACGCUGGGCGGGAACGACAAACGAUGAUCUUAACUACGAGGCUUAGCCCCAUCUUCCAAGCAGAUCAGACUAAUGAGAGAGAGGAUGGGAGAGAUACCACCUCAGUGCUGGAGAGAGGAGGCAAUAAACCAGUUCACUGAUUUUAAAGAGUGGGUGGUGAGGCAUAACUAUCACUUCCCAGGAUUUUUCUAAGACUACAGUUUUCUCUUUCAUAAUGAAAAAAAAAGAAGAGUAUAUUUUAAAAAUAUUUGGAGAUAAUUGAAUACUUAUAAGCAAAUGUCCUUAAAUACGGAAAGAAAACGUCUGGUAACGGCGCCUUCUGUUAGAGAGAAAAUUGACCUCAAAUUUUAAAUUAAAUUUUCCAAAAGCUUCAACCCAGGUUUCUCCCCCACAUCUUGAAUUUUGGCUUUCAUAUUCUUCAAACGUUAGGCUGACCUGAUUUUUCUUUCCGGUUACAUCAGUGUAACUUGAUGAAUAGUGAUUCCUAAUAAGGAGAGUGUGCCCAACCUUGUUAAAAAAAAAAAAAAGUUAAGAAAGAAACUAAAAUACCAUAACAGAAAAAAAGAGCAUUUAAGAUAAAGUCCAAACAAAAUUUUUAAAUAUAAAAUUCAUCUUAUAAGGGGCUAUCUGGAUAGCUUCUUUUCAUUGACUACAAUUUCUGAGCAUUGUGUGAUUUAUAUAUUAUAUUCACUCCAUUAUUAAAAAUUUGUCCAUGGCUACAUAUUUGCUACAAAUGCAACAGUUCACACUGUUAUAGCACCCUAAUGACCCCACCCCCCCAAUACAUCAAUGUGCAAAUUCCCAGAACCUGCAAACAUGUUACCUUACAUGGUGAAGCAGACUUGGCAGAUGUCAUCAAAUUAAGGGUCUUGACUUGGGGACCUUAAUCAGCCUGGAUUAUCCAGAUGGACCCAAUGUAAUCACAAAGGUGACAGAGGGAGAUUUUGUCCAGAUAGAGGAAUGUCUGAGGGAUGUAGCAAGAUGACAAUUCCACCAAUCACUCCUGGUUUUGAAGAUCGAAGAAGGGGCUGUGCACCAAGAAAUGCAGGCAGCCUCUUGGAGCUAGAAAAUGCAAGGGAAUAGAUUUCCUCCUAGAGCCUCCAGAUGCAAUGUAGGCUUUCUGACACCUUGACUUUAGUCCAUUGACACUGACUUCAAAUUUCUGACUUCAAGACUAUAAGAUAAUAAAUCUGCAUUGUUUUAAGCGACUAAAUGUGUGGUAUUUGUUACAGCAGCAAUAAGAAAUUAAUACUCAGAGUAAGUGUAUUAAUUCCCAUUUUACAGAGAGAGAUCUAAGAUCUUUCAAAC
ensembl:lncRNA